GCAGUCGAACGAGAAAACCUUCGGGUGAGUACAGUGGCCGCACGGGUGAGGAACGCGUAGGUAAUCUACCCUCUGGCGGGGGACAACACUCCGAAAGGAAUGCUAAUACCGCAUAAGACCACGCUCUCUACGGUGAGAGUGGUAAAAGGCGCCUCAAAGCGCCACCAGAGGAUGAGCCUGCGUCCCAUCAGCUUGUUGGUAAGGUAAUGGCUUACCAAGGCUAAGACGGGUAGCUGGUCUGAGAGGAUGAUCAGCCACACUGGUACUGGAACACGGACCAGACUCCUACGGGAGGCAGCAGUGAGGAAUAUUGGGCAAUGGGCGAAAGCCUGACCCAGCCACGCCGCGUGUGUGAUGAAGGCCUUCGGGUCGUAAAGCACUGUGGGGAGAGACGAACAUGCGCAUGAGGAAAUGCUUGCGCACUGACGGUACCUCCUUAGCAAGCACCGGCUAACUCUGUGCCAGCAGCCGCGGUAAUACAGAGGGUGCAAACGUUGCUCGGAUUUACUGGGCGUAAAGCGCGUGUAGGCGGACUCGCAAGUCGGUUGUGAAAUCCCUGGGCUCAACCUAGGAACUGCAUCCGAAACUGCUUGUCUUGAGUAAUGGGGAGGGUGGCGGAAUUCCCGGUGUAGAGGUGAAAUUCGUAGAUAUCGGGAGGAACAUCAGUGGCGAAGGCGGCCACCUGGACAUUUACUGACGCUGAGACGCGAAAGCGUGGGGAGCAAACAGGAUUAGAUACCC
rnacentral:rRNA from 1 species